rnacentral:rRNA from 1 species
CAAUAGCGUAUAUUUAAGUUGCUGCAGUUAAAAAGCUCGUAGUUGGAUUUCGGGUGGGAAUGGCCGGUCCGCCGUUUCGGUGUGCACUUGCUACGCCCACCUUGCUGCCGGGGACGUGCUCUUGAGUUCACGCUCGGGACAAGGAGUCGGCGAGGUUACUUUGAGUAAAUUAGAGUGUUCAAAGCAGGCCUACGCUCUGAAUACAUUAGCAUGGAAUAACACGAUAGGACUCUGGCCUAUCUUGUUGGUCUGUAGGACCGGAGUAAUGAUUAAGAGGGACAGUCGGGGGCAUUCGUAUUUCAUUGUCAGAGGUGAAAUUCUUGGAUUUAUGAAAGACGAACUACUGCGAAAGCAUUUGCCAAGGAUGUUUUCAUUAA